UUUAUAACUUAAGUAUAAUGUAUAUUUUAUUUACAAUGAUAAGGACUACUUUAAGUAGAAGUUAU
rnacentral:tRNA from 1 species